GAUGAACGCUGGCGGUAUGCUUAACACAUGCAAGUCGAACGGACUCUUCGGAGUUAGUGGCGGACGGGUGAGUAACGCGUGAGAAUCUGGCUUUGGGUUCGGGACAACCACUGGAAACGGUGGCUAAUACCGGAUGUGCCGAGAGGUAAAAGAGAAAUUGCCUGAAGAUGAGCUCGCGUCUGAUUAGCUAGUUGGUGAGGUAAAGGCUCACCAAGGCAGCGAUCAGUAGCUGGUCUGAGAGGAUGACCAGCCACACUGGGACUGAGACACGGCCCAGACUCCCACGGGAGGCAGCAGUGGGGAAUUGUCCGCAAUGGGCGAAAGCCUGACGGAGCAAUACCGCGUGAGGGAAGAAGGCUCUUGGGUUGUAAACCUCUUUUCUUAGGGAAGAACAAAAUGACGGUACCUAAGGAAUCAGCAUCGGCUAACUCCGUG
rnacentral:rRNA from 1 species